ACGGAUCUGUGGACCAACGCAGAAUGAUAACCUGGCUGUGGGCGAAUGGAGCCCCAAUGGCUGCCAUUUUACGCCAGCGUUGUAUGCACAUGACGGAGCACAAACCGCGCUGUCAAGCAGAGCCCUCCCACCGCUUCCAAAGUGAAUCCGAUUGGGCGAAAGGCAGGUCCGUUAUUUACAAGCUCCCACUUAAUUGAAUAGUGCUCACGUCUAUCAUUAACGGACCAUGCAAAUCACGCACCUCCCUCACCACAGCGCAGCGUCUCCAGAGGAGACGGAGAUUCUAAUUUAUGCGCCGCAGUGAUUUCUAAUUGGUCAAGCUCUGCGCCCUUCAAAAUCUCCCCUCUUCCCAUUGGUUGUAACUGUCCCGGGGACUUCCUUACGUUUUAUAAAUUCUUUGCCUUUGCCGGCACUCUUUUUGUUCCGAAUCAGCUGCGGCACGGGUAGGGUCUUGGCUGAAGUCCACGUUCAAGUACUUUAUCCGGUAACCCCCCCCCUCCAUUCAUCUUCAAGUAUGGGCAACCCAAAGGUCUUCUUCGACAUCGCCGUUGGCGACAACGUGAUCGGCAGGAUUAUCAUGGAGCUGAGGGCCGAUGUCGUCCCAAAAACUGCA